CCGUUCAACUCGUUCCUUCCGCGAAAGGAACUACGGGAG
ncrna:unclassified sequences folE RNA